rnacentral:rRNA from 1 species
ACCGGAUAUGAGCACCUACUGCAUGGUGGGUGUUGGAAAGUUUUUCGGUGGGGGAUGGACUCGCGGCCUAUCAGCUUGUUGGUGAGGUAGUGGCUCACCAAGGCGUUGACGGGUAGCCGGCCUGAGAGGGCGACCGGCCACACUGGGACUGAGACACGGCCCAGACUCCUACGGGAGGCAGCAGUGGGGAAUAUUGCACAAUGGGCGAAAGCCUGAUGCAGCGACGCCGCGUGAGGGAUGACGGCCUUCGGGUUGUAAACCUCUUUCAGCAGGGAAGAAGCGAGAGUGACGGUACCUGCAGAAGAAGCGCCGGCUAACUACGUGCCAGCAGCCGCGGUAAUACGUAGGGCGCAAGCGUUGUCCGGAAUUAUUGGGCGUAAAGAGCUUGUAGGUGGCUUGUCGCGUCUGCCGUGAAAACCCGAGGCUCAACCUCGGGCGUGCGGUGGGUACGGGCAGGCUAGAGUGUGGUAGGGGAGACUGGAACUCCUGGUGUAGCGGUGAAAUGCGCAGAUAUCAGGAAGAACACCGAUGGCGAAGGCAGGUCUCUGGGCCAUUACUGACACUGAGAAGCGAAAGCAUGGGGAGCGAACAGGAUUAGAUACCCUGGUAGUCCAUGCCGUAAACGUUGGGCACUAGGUG